UACUAAUGCAACUGCGAAUAGCUGUUUAAUACAGUCGUAAUUGUAUUGACUUAUAUAAAUAUUUGAUAGUUAUUUAUUUGGAUAACUAAGGGAAAGUUUGGCUAAUACGUAUAAAAUAUAAUAAUACAUUAUGCACAUAAUAAUAUUUAUAUAUGAUAAAUAUUAUGUAAAUGAAAGUAUUUUUUUACUUUAAUAGAGCAGACUUUAUAAUAUUUAAUUAUUAUAAAGCAUGUCAAACAAGCAUCUAUAGCAUCAAGUCACAAUGUUGGCAUGUGUAUUAUUGAACCUUCAAAGCAUUUACGCAUUCGGAGGAGUAGUUUCUGAUCCCGUCGAAGGUGCCUGAGAGACGGCACUUAGUUCUAAGGAACGCAGCAGGCGCGUAAAUUGCCCAAUGACAAAACAUGUUUUAAAAACUCAAUAUAUAAUAUUUUUAUUGAGGCAGUGACAAGCUGUAAAGAUUGAAUAUAUUAAUUAAGAUAACAUUUGGAAUUGUCGUUUUAUAAUAUUUUUAAUAUUAUAUUACUUGAUAAUAUACCAAUGUUAUAAAAUAUUCAAUUUGAAUGCGGUGAAUCUAAUAAUUUCAAGUAACAUGUAUAAAAUAUUUAUAUUUUAUUAGUUAUCUGAAUUUUCAAGUGGAGGGCAAGUCUGGUGCCAGCAGCCGCGGUAAUACCAGCUCCACUAGCUUAUACAAUCAUUGUUGCGGUUAAGAGGCUCGUAGUUGGAUUGAAUACAUUUUUUACAAUACUGUGAACAAACCAGAGUGUAUAAAACAUGUAAUAUAUUAUAUAUUUAGCAAUGAAUGUUUUAUCAUGGAAUAUUGCUUUUUAAUAUAAUAUCGAUGGAGAUAGUUGGAGUUAAGAGUACUGAUAGGCGAGCGGUGAAAUGCAUUGACCCUAUUAAGACUAACAAAAGCGAAAGCACUUAACUAGAUUAUUCUCUUUGUAUUAUUACAAUGAAGAGCGAAGGUUGGGGGAACAAAGAGGAUCAGAUACCCUCGUAGUCCUAUUUUUACAUCAAACUAUGGGAUUUCAAUUACUGUACACCUCUAUAUUUAAUUAUUUAUUAUAAUAUAAUUGAGUACUUAAUUGUUUACUCUUAUAUUUAAUAUAUAUUAUUUUUAUAAUUGAUUAUAUGUACUUUGAGCUCAUAUAAUUAUAUAGGUGAGAUGUAAGCAUUAUAGGUGAGUAAUUAUAAGUAAUAUUAUAUAUUAUGAUCCUUAAUAAAAUGUAAUGUGAUGCACGUUUUAGGUACGAGCUUAGUAUAGAAAUAUUUAAAAUAAUACCCUCCUGGGGUAGUAUGCACGCACGUGUGAAACUUGAAGGAAUUGACGGAAGGGCACCACAAGAACGCGUGGAGCAUGUGGCUUAAUUUGACUCAACCCGGGAAAUCUUACCAGGUCCAGACAUAUUGAGGAUUGACAGGCGAUAGUAUAUAAAAAUAUAUAUUUUUAUAUGCAUAAAAAUGAUAGUCCUUUCAUGAUUAUAUGAUAGGUGGUGCAUGGCCGUUCUUAGUUCGUGGAGUGAUUUGUCUGCUUAAUUGCGUUUCAGUAAAUAAAAUAUAUGAUAUAUUAUAAUAUUUAGUUCUGCCUUUAUGGAUUUAAAGUGAACAUAUUAUAUAUAUUAUUAUAUAAUAAAUGAAUGC
rnacentral:rRNA from 1 species